GCCUACUGGGGUUGCCGGGGCGACAGCUUAGCAAAGGGAGAAAGCACGACAAGGAUAAUCCGAGAGGUAGCUGCUAAAUCAACCGUCCGAAGGGCAAAGCACUGUGAUACCUUU
rnacentral:rRNA from 1 species